AUUGAACGCUGGCGGCAUGCCUUACACAUGCAAGUCGAACGGCAGCACGGGGCAACCUGGUGGCGAGUGGCGAACGGGUGAGUGAUGCAUCGGAACGUACCUUUCAGUGGGGGAUAACGUAGCGAAAGUUACGCUAAUACCGCAUAUUCUGUGAGCAGGAAAGCAGGGGAUCGCAAGACCUUGCGCUGAUUGAGCGGCCGAUGUCAGAUUAGCUAGUUGGUGAGGUAAGGGCUCACCAAGGCGACGAUCUGUAGCGGGUCUGAGAGGAUGAUCCGCCACACUGGAACUGAGACACGGUCCAGACUCCUACGGGAGGCAGCAGUGGGGAAUUUUGGACAAUGGGGGCAACCCUGAUCCAGCCAUGCCGCGUGAGUGAAGAAGGCCUUCGGGUUGUAAAGCUCUUUCGGCCGGGAAGAAAUCGCACGGGCUAAUACCCUGUGUGGAUGACGGUACCGGAAUAAGAAGCACCGGCUAACUACGUGCCAGCCGCCGCAGUAACAC
rnacentral:rRNA from 1 species